rnacentral:lncRNA from 1 species
GGGUAAGAGCUCGGCCACGGCCUUGAGUCCACGAAGCAGCCGCGGAGCUUUGUGAAGGACAAGAUGGCGAUGGCGGGCCGUGCCGGCGGCCCCCNCUCUCUGUGAUGAGAACCUUUUCACAGACCUGUACUGAGCUCCGUGAGGAUAAGAAACUCUGAAGAGACGGGCCUUGCACAGCCGAAAUGCGACACAGUCGUAGCUCCGGCGGACAAAACGAUUGUGAAAAAGCCGGUGUUGAUUUAAUGUCCUCUUGUCUGCAGAGUUCAGGCGCACGUCUGAAGGCUAGAAUGGAAAAGAGCCGACCUGUUAGGGUAAGUGGGUGGUCCUCUUUUACCCCCUCUUCCUCCGUUGUCGAGUGUACGGGGGCCCUGUGGUAAGUGCUACGGGGAUGAUACUAAGGAUUGAACUCUCUCUUUCUGAUGGAGUAGUGGAGAAAGCCUAAGAGUUCUGAGUAGCACCAGCCCGCAGCGAAUGUUCGGGUGUUUCGCGCGGAGGUAAGAAGACCGACUGCAAAGUAUGAAACUAAGUGAGAGGUGCUCCCCUUUUUUUUUUCCUUCCAGAUGUGGUUCAGCUCAAAAGACCUUACGGGUUGGAGGAUGGGACAAGACCCAUCCCUGCAAAGUAAGCAUUCCAGUGAUGCUCCAGGUGGGUAUGCAGUGAUUUACCGCAGUUAAGGGUGGGCACUGUGUCUAGAUGGGGUUUGUUCUUGUUCAGAUUAUGCUGACCACUCUGUGAUGAACAUAAAAAAAGACAAGCAUAUGGCUGAUCUUAAAAGUGAUGUCAUCUUCCUGCUGAGAAGUGGACCAAGAGUAUUCAAGGACCUAUGAAUGGCUAUUUUUAGGUACAUAUAAUGCCUUUUCUGUUUCCAGCAUCUCCUCCCCAAGCCUGAGGAAUCCAGCUGCCUCCAAGGGUGAAGACAGGUAAUUUUUUGACCAGAUGAGGGGAUUGGAGUGUCCUCUCCUGUUUGGCCUACAACCAGGAGAGCAAAAUGAGCAGUUUUGCCUUUUUGCUUCUUGCAGCUUAUUCCUCUUAGAAUGACUUUCCUGUGGAGGGAAAGAGCAACCCAACAGUACAGUUAAUUCUUGAGAUGGUGUGCUCUCCCUCACCCAUAUGUCACUGUCAGAUGAUUUGA